UGGGAACUUCUAUUUGUAGGGUCAGCCUGG
rnacentral:piRNA from 1 species